rnacentral:tRNA from 1 species
GUUCUCGUAGUUGAAUUACAACGGUGGUUUUUCAAGUCAUUAGUUCUGGUUAGAAUCCUGGCGGGAAUU